GCGCUGGAAACGGCGUCUAAUACCGGAUACGAGCUGCGAAGGCAUCUUCAGCAGCUGGAAAGAAUUUCGGUCAGGGAUGAGCUCGCGGCCUAUCAGCUUGUUGGUGAGGUAAUGGCUCACCAAGGCGUCGACGGGUAGCCGGCCUGAGAGGGUGACCGGCCACACUGGGACUGAGACACGGCCCAGACUCCUACGGGAGGCAGCAGUGGGGAAUAUUGCACAAUGGGCGAAAGCCUGAUGCAGCAACGCCGCGUGAGGGAUGACGGCCUUCGGGUUGUAAACCUCUUUUAGCAAGGAAGAAGCGAAAGUGACGGUACUUGCAGAAAAAGCGCCGGCUAACUACGUGCCAGCAGCCGCGGUAAUACGUAGGGCGCAAGCGUUAUCCGGAAUUAUUGGGCGUAAAGAGCUCGUAGGCGGUCUGUCGCGUCUGCUGUGAAAACCCGAGGCUCAACCUCGGGCCUGCAGUGGGUACGGGCAGACUAGAGUGCGGUAGGGGAGAUUGGAAUUCCUGGUGUAGCGGUGGAAUGCGCAGAUAUCAGGAGGAACACCGAUGGCGAAGGCAGAUCUCUGGGCCGUAACUGACGCUGAGGAGCGAAAGGGUGGGGAGCAAACAGGCUUAGAUACCCUGGUAGUCCACCCCGUAAACGUUGGGAACUAGUUGUGGGGUCCAUUCCACGGAUUCCGUGACGCAGCU
rnacentral:rRNA from 1 species